rnacentral:rRNA from 1 species
GACGAACCUUGCUAACGUUAUUCGGAAUUACUGGGCUUAAAGGGUGCGUAGGCGGUGCAGCAAGUCGGGUGUGAAAGCCCUCAGCUCAACUGAGGAAUUGCGCCCGAAACUGCUGUGCUCGAGGAAUACAGAGGUAUGCGGAACUUAGGGUGGAGCGGUGAAAUGCGUUGAUAUCCUAAGGAACACCGGUGGCGAAAGCGGCAUACUGGGUAUUUUCUGACGCUCAUGCACGAAAGCUAGGGGAGCGAAUGGG